UUGGUGAACAUUCAACGCUGUCGGUGAGUUUUGCGCUUCUGUAACAAACCAUCGACCGUUGACUGUACCCUGAGGGUGG
ensembl:miRNA mir181a-2 microRNA 181a-2